CAACUGUUUAUUCAUUUCCAUAGAUGCUGCCUGACGUGCUGAGUUCCUCCAGCAUUGUGUGUGUGUGUUGCUUCGGAUUUCCAGCAUCUGAACAAUCUCUUGAUUUUAUGAUUUGCUGCCCCACCAGGCUCAGAACCGAACUGCCCAAGGUCCUGGAGAAGAUGGAGAAGAUAUUUCCUUUGUAUAUUCUCCUUAUGACAACAUAGAUUUCCUCCGGAUGUUCCAGCUCCCUCCCACAUCCCAAAGACGUGCGAGUUGGGGCUGCCUGACUCGCUGAGAGACCCCGGCACCCUCUGUUUUUAUUGCAGGUUUUCAGCAUCUGCGGUUCCUUUGCAGCUUGGAAGCUGGAAGCCGCUGUCCUGCGUCGAGAAAGGGCAAUAUGCUGAUGAGCUGAAUCCGGGCCCAGGCCUGACCGAUGAUGUAAUUGGACACAGCAACAAGAUGAUCCAAGGCCACAUGGAGAGACAUUGAGAUCAUGUCUGCUGUAGACCUAUUGUAGCAACAGGCAAAUUGCAAUGGGUCCAGGAGUUGAUUCUCGUCAUGACCAACCUCUCAAAGCAUUUCAUCACCAUAGACAUAAGUGCAUGAUGUCGAGACAUCAGAGACUUAUGGAGAAGAGGAGUUAUAAGCCAUGUCUCCCUUCUCUCAUUAUGGGCAAUGUGAGAUCGCUGGGUAAUAAAAUGGACGAGUUGACAGCGAUAGUCAGGAGUCAGAGGACUUUUUGGGAGAGCAGUGUUAUAUGUUUUACUGAAACGUGGCUGCACGAGGACAUACCCGACCAAAACGUUUCCAUAGAGGCCUUCCAGACCGUUCGGGCCAAUCGGAAUUGCACUGAGAGCAGUAAGCAUAAAGGAGGGGGGCUUGCUGUUCUGGUUAACAGCAGAUGGUGCAAUCCUGGUCAUAUUACGAUCAAGGAAUGUGUUUGUAGCCCGGAUAUUGAACUUUUUGCUGUUGGACUCCAGCCAUAUUACUUGCCAAGAGAGUGUCACAUGCAAUUGUGGUUGUUGUGUACGUCCCUCCCUCUGCCAACCCGACGUCAGCGUGUAACAUCGUUCACACCGUCAUAGCCGGACUACAAACCCAGCACCCGAGUGCCCUCAUUACCAUCUCGCGUGACUUCAACCAUGUUACCAUAGAUAGAGCACUGCCCAACUUCACGCAGUAUCUGAGCUGUACAACCAGAGGGGAGAGGACCCUGGACUUGAUGUAUGCUAACGUUAAGGAUGCAUACAGCUCCUCUCCCCUCCCCCCACUGGGACGGUCAGAUCACAACCUGGUGCAUCUCAAACCUUGCUACGUGCCGCUGGUGAAGAAUAAACCUGUAACCUCGAGGUCAAUGAGGACAUGGUCGGGGGAGGCUUUGAGGCACUCCAGGAUUGUUUUGAGGUGACAUACUGGCAGGCCCUCUGUGAGCCACAUGGAGAGGACAUUGAUGGGCUCACAGAGUGCAUCACUGGUACAUCAACAUCUGUGUGGACUGCAAUGUUCCAGCAAGAACUGUCCUUUGUUAUUCAAAUAACAAGCCAUGGGUAACAAAGGACAUUAAGGACAUCCUGAACGCUAAAAAGAGGAUGUUUAGAGAAGGAAAUAGGGAGGAGCUGAGGACAAUACAGAGGGACCUGAAAACCAAGAUCAGAGAGACUAAAGACAGGUAUAGGAGGAAGCUUGAGUGGAGACUCCAGCAGAACAACAUGAGAAAGGUCUGGAGUUGGAUGAGGACCAUCACUGGGUUCUGGCAAACCAGCAACAGAGGAGCUGAAGGCAGUGUGGACAGGGCCAACGAACUUAACCUGUUCUUCAAUAGAUUUCUUCAAUGGCCCCUGCCCACCCCCCACAUGAUUCAUCUGUUGUCGGCCCCCAACCAACACUUACUCCACUCUCCCCUCCUCACAGCCCCCCACCCUGCACUCAUGACUACACCCCUCCCUCACCUGAAACCACCACGGUGGGCUUCACAGCUGAACAGGUGAAAAGACAGCUGAAAUAUCUCCACCCAAGCAAGGCUGCAGGCCCGGAUGGUGUCAGCCCUAGGGUGCUCAAAGCCUCUGCCCCCCCAGCUAUGUGGGGUACUUCACCAUGUCUUCAACCUGAGAUUGAGUCUCCAGAGGGUUCCUGUGCUGUGGAAGACGACCAGCCUCGUUCCUGUACCGAAGACACUGCGCCCCUGUGGCUCCAAUGACUACAGACCGGUGGCAUUGACCUCCCACAUCAUGAAGACCCUGGAGAGACUUGUUCUAGAGCAGCUCCAGUCUAUGGUUAGGCCACACUUUGACCCCUCUAGUUCGCCUAUCAGCCCUGACUAGGAGUUGAGGAUGCCAUCGUCUACCUGCUGAACCGUGUCUACACCCACCUGGACAAGCCGGCGAGCACUGUGAGGGUCAUGUUUUUUGACUUCUCCAAUGUAUUCAACACCAUCCGCCCUGCUCUUCUGGGUGAGAAGCUGACAGUGAUGCAGGUGGAUGCUUUCCUGGUGUCAUGGAUUAUUGAUUACCUUACUGACCACGGUAUGUUCGCUUGCAACACUGUGUGUCAGACAGGGUGGUCAGCAGCACUGGGGCUCCACAGGGGACUGUCCUGUCUCCCUUUCUCUUCACCAUCUACACCUCGGACUUCAACUACUGCACAGAGUCUUGCCAUCUUCAGAAGUUUUCUGAUGACUCUGCCAUAGUUGGAUGCAUCAGCAAGUGAGAUGAGGCUGAGUACAGGGCUAAGGUGGGAAACUUUGUCACAUGGUGUGAGAAGAAUCAUCUGCAGCUUAAUGUGAAAAAGACUAAGGAGCUGGUGGUGGACCUGAGGAGGGCUAAGGCAUCGGUGACCUCUGUUUCCAUCCAAGGGGUCAGUGUGGACAUAGUGAAGGAUUACAAAUACCUGGGGAUAUGAAUGGACAAUAAACUGGACUGAUCAAAGAACACUGAGGCUGUCUACAAGAAGGGUCAGAGCCGUCUCUAUUUCCUGAGGCGACUGACGUCCUUUAACUUCUGCCAGACGAUGCUGAAGAUGUUCUAUGAGGCUGUGGUGGCCAGUGCUAUCAUGUUUGCUGUUGUGUGUUGGGGCAGCAGGCUGAGGGUAGCAGACACCAACAGAAUCAACCAACUCAUUCGUAAGGCCAGUGAUGUUGUGGGGGUGGAACUGGACUCUCUGACGGUGGUGUCUGAAAAGAGGAUGCUGUCCAAGUUGCAUGCCAUCUUGGACAAUGACUCCCAUCCACUCCAUAAUGUACUGGUUAGGCACAGGGGUACAUUCAGCCAGAGACUCAUUCCACCGAGAUGCAACACUGAGCGUCAUAGGAAGUCAUUCCUGCCUGUGGCCAUCAAACUUUACAACUCCUCCCUCGGAGUGUCAGACACCCUGAGCCACUAGGCUGGUCCUGGACUUAUUUCCACUUGGCAUGAUUUACUUAUUAGUAUUUAAUUAUAUAUUGUUUUAUAUUGCUAUAUUUUUUCACAAUUCUUGGUUGGUCCGUCUGUAAUGAAACCCAAUUUCCCUCGGGAUUAAUAAAGUAUGUCUGUCUGUCUAUCUGUCUGUCUAUUGGACAAUAAUCAUUAAGGCAGCUCACACUGCUCUUUCUUGGGCACUGGUAUAAUUGUCGCCCUUUAAAAGUAGGUGGGAACUUCUGACUGUAGCAGUGAGAGAUUGAAAAUGACUUUGAAUACCCCUGCCAGUUGGUUGGCACAGGUUUUCAGAGCCUUUCCAGGUACUCCAUUGGCCCAUGCCACCUCGCAAGGGUUCUCCCUCCUGAAAGACAGGCUGACGCUGGCCUCAAUGAAGUGCUUGCCUUCCUAACUACUUUCUGAACUUACCUGUUAACUUCUUGUAGUUCAUGCUCUGGGACACCUACAACUUCACUCCUUUACAAUAUUUUUCCAUCUAGAUAAUAAUCUGCCCUUUGAUUUUUGCUUAUGAAAAAGCAUGAAGUCACACUUACCCCACAUUAAACUCCAUUAGCUCAGUUUUUCCCACUUCCUUGUGUAGGGCUGUCAGUACCAUUAACUGUGGUGUUGUUAACUGUUCAGGCUAACAAAAUGGCUUCUCUUGUAAUGCUACUUAAUGCUGUAAUGGGUUUCUGUAGCUGGAGUGUUUGGGUUAUAACUGUAGAUAAGUGGGGUACUAACCAAUGGAGAAUUGUUAUGCUAUCUUGUAUGUGUGAGCUGAGUGGGAGUUCGGUCUUUUUCGAGAGGCAAGUGAGGAGGACGGAUGUGUGAGGAGCGGACAGCGGUUCCAGGGCAGCGGAUACUGGACAUCGGCGGUUCGGACGGUGGCCGAAGGCUCAGAAGGUCAUUGUGGAUGGAACCGGAGGCGUGAGCUCCAACGUAUUAAAAUAUUAUGUGAACAAACUGAUAAGCUUACUGAUUUGGAGCCUUUAGGUUAUCUGUUUCAACUAACCCAUCACUAAGAGAUAACUAUAAAGUUGCAAUUAUUUCCUCGCCUUUGGUGCAUUGUCUGGUAUUUGUGUACUGGGGGGGCAUUACACUGUAUUUACAUCAAAGUAUUGCACUGUUGGCAGGGCAAUGGCGGUUCACCCUAGAUGAGCGGGGGUAAAUUGGGGGCACGGAGGCUACACUUGAUUUAUCUUUGACCUACUUCAGAGUCACAAUCUGUCCUUUCAGUUACUUUCAUACCAUCAGCAAACUUCCAAUCAGAAUCGGAACCACUAUCACUGAGCUGACAUGGAAUUUGAUAUUUUGCCACAUUGACUUACAAAAUUAAAUAACUUGUGCAAAGGAAAAGGAAUAGCAAGCUAGUUUUUCAGAUGUUUGUUGACCAUUCAGAAAUCUGACGGUGGAGGGGAAGAAGCUGCUUCUGAAUCGUUGAGUGUGAAU